GGAAGGGUGCAGGAGCGGUUGAACUGGCGCGCUUGGAAAGCGCGUAUAGCCCGCAAGGGUUAUCGAGGGUUCGAAUCCCUCUCCUUCCGCCA
rnacentral:tRNA from 1 species